CCUACGGGAGGCAGCAGUAGGGAAUCUUGCACAAUGGGGGAAACCCUGAUGCAGCAACGCCGCGUGAGUGAAGAAGUAUUUCGGUAUGUAAAGCUCUAUCAGAAGGGAGGAAGAUGACGGUACCUGAAGAAGAAGCCCCGGCUAACUACGUGCCAGCAGCCGCGGUAAUACGUAGGGUGCAAGCGUUAUCCGGAGUUACUGGGUGUAAAGGGAGCGGAGACGGCAGUGCAAGACUGGAGUGAAAGCCCGGGGCCAAACCCCGGAACUGCUCGGGAAACUGUGCGGCGCGAGGACGGGAGGGGCAGGCGGAAUUCCUAGUGUAGCGGUGAAAUGCGUAGAUAUAUGGAAGAACACCAGUGGCGAAGGCGGCCGCCUGGCCUGUUACUGACGCUGAGGCACGAAAGCGUGGGGAGCAAAUAGGAUUAGAUACCCGUGUAGUC
rnacentral:rRNA from 1 species